GUUAUUGGUUGCAGCCACAACUGAUGUGCUCUUGACAAGGAUCCCAAAUGACUUUGCAACCCCUAGAUAUCCGAGUAUGGUGUGUGACUUGGUAACAAUAUUGAUCAAUUGGAAAAGAUGCAUAAAGUGGCGCUAACACAAGCUCCUCUUGGAACUUAUUAAAGGUGUAAGGAGUAAAAACAGAGGCUGCUUGUGAUUCAAUUAGUGAACCUGUUUUGAUGUAAACUUUCUGUGUUCUUCGUUGAGUCUGUGCCUUGACUUCAGUAUGAUUACUUAAAUCGAUAAUUUCAGCUGCCUGCAAAAAGGAUAAUUACAAUUUUAGGUUGUCAAAAUCAACAAAAGAUUCAAAGGAAACAGAAGGAAGGUUACACGUUCAAAAAAACAAUCUAGUUGUGACUGUGCACUCAGAAACUGUUGAAUAAAAGCAUUAAUAGAUUCAGACUGAAACAUAUUUAUCAUUCCUGCAAAAAAGUACUGUCAUAAAUAUGACAAAGCCCAAUACAUCCGCAAUGCAUACAAACUAGCAACAUGCUUAUUAGCAUGGAGCCCAUAUUCGAUGAUGAUUUCUUUCCAUCCUUCCGCAAAGUCUUCCACAAAUUCUAGUGUAUAGAGUCAGAGAAGCUCAGCUUUCCGGUCAUAAUUACAUGUCCCAAGCAAGCAGUAUGGAAAACCAAUCUGAGAAUUUUGUAAUGAUGUGCCAAAUACAAGUUUCAGGCAUUUCAAAGCAAUAGCCUCCUUUAGCCAUAUAUUUUGGUCAGUCAUAAUAGUUUGUGGAGCCUUUCCUUUUAUGAAGCCCAUAAAUGCCAAAAUCAUCCCUUCCACGAGUACGGUGACAUCUAAUGGAAAAGCCACAUUGCCUUGCAAAACUGCAAUUAAAUUCAUAGGCAGCAUCUUGAGAGACAAAUCUUUGGUAAAUGGAACAAGAUUCACAGAAGUUUGUUGUGACAAUAUUGUAUCAUCAGGUAUUUUUUCCAUGUUGCCAGUAUCAUCGUGAGAUAUAUCUGUCCCAUUUUCAGAAGAC
rnacentral:misc_RNA from 1 species